rnacentral:rRNA from 1 species
UACGUAGGCAGCGAGCGUUGUUCGGAGUUACUGGGCGUAAAGGGUGCGUAGGCGGUUUUCCAAGGUUGGUGUGAAAUCUCCCGGCUUAACUGGGAGGGUGCGCCGAAAACUAGGAGACUUGAGUACCGGAGAGGUAAGCGGAAUUCCUGGUGUAGCGGUGAAAUGCGUAGAGAUCAGGAGGAACACCUGUGGUGUAGACAGCUUACUGGACGGUCACUGACGCUGAGGCACGAAAGCGUGGGUAGCAAACAGG